rnacentral:rRNA from 1 species
UACAGAGGUCCCAAGCGUUGUUCGGAUUCACUGGGCGUAAAGGGUGCGUAGGCGGCGGGGUAAGUUUGAUGUGAAAUCCCGGGGCUCAACCCUGGAAUUGCAUUGAAUACUACCUUGCUAGAGUACCGGAGAGGAAACUGGAAUUUACGGUGUAGCAGUGAAAUGCGUAGAGAUCGUAAGGAAGACCAGUGGCGAAGGCGAGUUUCUGGACGGUAACUGACGCUGAGGCACGAAGGCCAGGGGAGCAAACGGG